GCCGCCGUAGCACAAUCGGAAGUGCAAUGCACGCCUAAUGCAGAGGUUGUGGGUUCGGCUCCCACCGGCGGCA